rnacentral:lncRNA from 1 species
GCAAGUACAAACAUUGUUCGCCACGCUGGAGUGCUGACAUGGCAAUACGCAUGAACGUUUUUACACGCGUCGAGUUUUGAUUGUAUUUAUCUUCAAAACAACAUUAACUUCCUUCUUUUUUUUACGGUGGUAAAAUUAACCAAUCCACACUAUCUAAUUGGUACUGUGAUCAUUACAAGUUACAUAAAAAAAAAGAAAAAAAAAAAAACCGAAUCCGUUACUCUCCUAAUAAUAAUUCUAUGACCAAAAAAAAGUAACAAAGAAACGACUCAAUAACUUUUCCGCCAAUUUCGG